UAGCAAUACGACGGAAAGUUUAGUGGCGAUCGGGUGCGUAACACGUGGGCAAUCUGCCUUAAAGUGUGGAAUAGCUCGGCGAAAGCCGAAUUAAUACCGCAUGUGGCUACUGGAGACAUCUUCGGGACGCUAAAGGUGGCGCAAGCUACCGCUUUUUGAGGAGCCCGCGGCCUAUCAGCUUGUUGGUGAGGUAACGGCUCACCAAGGCGUUGACGGGUAGCUGGUCUGAGAGGACGACCAGCCACACUGGGACUGAGACACGGCCCAGACACCUACGGGUGGCAGCAGUCGAGAAUUUUUGACAAUGGGGGAAACCCUGAUCGAGCGACGCCGCGUGGAGGAUGAAGGUCUUCGGGUUGUAAACUCCUGUCAUUUGGGAACAAGGCGUAUUUAUUAACUGUAAGUGCGUUGAUAGUACCAGAAGAGGAAGAGACGGCUAACUCUGUGCCAGCAGCCGCGGUAAUACAGAGGUCUCAAGCGUUGUUCGGAUUCAUUGGGCGUAAAGGGUGUGUAGGUGGCGCGCUAAGUCGGGUGUGAAAUUUCGGAGCUUAACUCCGAAACUGCAUUCGAUACUGGCGUGCUUGAGGACUGGAGAGGAGACUGGAAUUCUCGGUGUAGCA
rnacentral:rRNA from 1 species